AUUAAACAAAGGAGGUUUAAAUAUUUUCAUAAUGAGUAAAAUACACUAACACCCCCUAUAGAUAAUCAUAAUAACACUCAUCAUUCUUCUAGUUUUUCAAGUAACAGUCAGUACUCCUCUAGUCUACAAUAUGUAAUAUUCACUACCCCUAGUAUGGUUGACCAACUAAUAUUUAAAAAUAUUUUUAAUAUAAUGUCUAAU
rnacentral:lncRNA from 1 species